rnacentral:lncRNA from 1 species
GAUUAGAAGAUUAGGACACAGACACACAGAAAGAGGGUCAUGUGAGGACACAGGCAGAAAGUCAUCAUCUGUAAGCCAGGGUGAGGCUUCAGAAGAAACCAACCCUGCCAACACCUGGAUCUCAGACUCUAGUCUCAAGAAUUUUGAAAAAAAAAAAAAAAUUUUGUUGUUUAAGACACCCGGCCUAUAGUACUUUGAUGUGGCAGCCUUAGCUAAUGAAUACACUGGUUGUCAACCUUGGCUGCUCAAUAGAACCACCUGUAGUUACAAACAAUAAAAUUAAAAUAAAAUGAAAUAACAUCCAUGCUAAUUAAAUCAUAAUGGAGCAAGGGAUUGUGAAGGGAGUACACGGUACAAUAAAGCCAACAGAUGAAGAGACAACUGCCAUUGAAAAGAUAAUUUGUUAUACUCUUAGAUCCCAAAAAAAGGAAGGUCAUACUAGGAAUCACCAAGCUUGGCCAUGAGGCAGAAGGAGAGCAACAGACUAUGGUCCAGAUCCUUUAUUGUGGUUUCUACAGGAAGGAACAGGCAAAGCAGGGUAAGCAGCCUUACAAUUGGCUAGUUUGGAAUAAUUUCAGCAGGCUCUGGGGCAUAAGGGCUGGUUCUGGUUGUCUGGUACCUGGUCCUGGGGUGAUCAGGGCUGAUGUCUAGUGCCCCUGAGUGUGAAAGCCUGAUAAACCGGUGAUUGGAGGAGUGGACUUAAUUGGCUGCUCAGAAAGGGAACUGAACAGCCUCUAUCCAGGGCAUGCAAACUGGAUCAAGACGCUAUUUAAAAAACUAUAUACAAUUGAUCUUUUGAUGUUUCAACAUCAGUUUUGAGCUCUAUUAUCUGAGACAUUUGAAUGACAAGAAUAGUAGAGAAGUUCAGAGAGUAGGGCACAAGAUGCCCUGAAGAGUCUAGAAAAUAUUUCAGUAUGAAAG